rnacentral:rRNA from 1 species
NNNNNNNNNNNNNNNNNNNNNGGGGAAACCCAGUGUGUUUCGACACACUAUCAUUAACUGAAUCCAUAGGUUAAUGAGGCGAACCGGGGGAACUGAAACAUCUAAGUACCCCGAGGAAAAGAAAUCAACCGAGAUUCCCCCAGUAGCGGCGAGCGAACGGGGAGGAGCCCAGAGCCUGAAUCAGUGUGUGUGUUAGUGGAAGCGUCUGGAAAGGCGCGCGAUACAGGGUGACAGCCCCGUACACAAAAAUGCACAUAUUGUGAGCUCGAUGAGUAGGGCGGGACACGUGGUAUCCUGUCUGAAUAUGGGGGGACCAUCCUCCAAGGCUAAAUACUCCUGACUGACCGAUAGUGAACCAGUACCGUGAGGGAAAGGCGAAAAGAACCCCGGCGAGGGGAGUGAAAAAGAACCUGAAACCGUGUACGUACAAGCAGUGGGAGCCUCUUAAUGGGGUGACUGCGUACCUUUUGUAUAAUGGGUCAGCGACUUAUAUUCUGUAGCAAGGUUAACCGAAUAGGGGAGCCGAAGGGAAACCGAGUCUUAACUGGGCGUUAAGUUGCAGGGUAUAGACCCGAAACCCGGUGAUCUAGCCAUGGGCAGGUUGAAGGUUGGGUAACACUAACUGGAGGACCGAACCGACUAAUGUUGAAAAAUUAGCGGAUGACUUGUGGCUGGGGGUGAAAGGCCAAUCAAACCGGGAGAUAGCUGGUUCUCCCCGAAAGCUAUUUAGGUAGCGCCUCGUGAAUUCAUCUCCGGGGGUAGAGCACUGUUUCGGCAAGGGGGUCAUCCCGACUUACCAACCCGAUGCAAACUGCGAAUACCGGAGAAUGUUAUCACGGGAGACACACGGCGGGUGCUAACGUCCGUCGUGAAGAGGGAAACAACCCAGACCGCCAGCUAAGGUCCCAAAGUCAUGGUUAAGUGGGAAACGAUGUGGGAAGGCCCAGACAGCCAGGAUGUUGGCUUAGAAGCAGCCAUCAUUUAAAGAAAGCGUAAUAGCUCACUGGUCGAGUCGGCCUGCGCGGAAGAUGUAACGGGGCUAAACCAUGCACCGAAGCUGCGGCAGCGACGCUUAUGCGUUGUUGGGUAGGGGAGCGUUCUGUAAGCCUGUGAAGGUGUGCUGUGAGGCAUGCUGGAGGUAUCAGAAGUGCGAAUGCUGACAUAAGUAACGAUAAAGCGGGUGAAAAGCCCGCUCGCCGGAAGACCAAGGGUUCCUGUCCAACGUUAAUCGGGGCAGGGUGAGUCGACCCCUAAGGCGAGGCCGAAAGGCGUAGUCGAUGGGAAACAGGUUAAUAUUCCUGUACUUGGUGUUACUGCGAAGGGGGGACGGAGAAGGCUAUGUUGGCCGGGCGACGGUUGUCCCGGUUUAAGCGUGUAGGCUGGUUUUCCAGGCAAAUCCGGAAAACCAAGGCUGAGGCGUGAUGACGAGGCACUACGGUGCUGAAGCGACAAAUGCCCUGCUUCCAGGAAAAGCCUCUAAGCAUCAGGUAACAUCAAAUCGUACCCCAAACCGACACAGGUGGUCAGGUAGAGAAUACCAAGGCGCUUGAGAGAACUCGGGUGAAGGAACUAGGCAAAAUGGUGCCGUAACUUCGGGAGAAGGCACGCUGAUAUGUAGGUGAAGCGACUUGCUCGUGGAGCUGAAAUCAGUCGAAGAUACCAGCUGGCUGCAACUGUUUAUUAAAAACACAGCACUGUGCAAACACGAAAGUGGACGUAUACGGUGUGACGCCUGCCCGGUGCCGGAAGGUUAAUUGAUGGGGUUAGCGGUAACGCGAAGCUCUUGAUCGAAGCCCCGGUAAACGGCGGCCGUAACUAUAACGGUCCUAAGGUAGCGAAAUUCCUUGUCGGGUAAGUUCCGACCUGCACGAAUGGCGUAAUGAUGGCCAGGCUGUCUCCACCCGAGACUCAGUGAAAUUGAACUCGCUGUGAAGAUGCAGUGUACCCGCGGCAAGACGGAAAGACCCCGUGAACCUUUACUAUAGCUUGACACUGAACAUUGAGCCUUGAUGUGUAGGAUAGGUGGGAGGCUUUGAAGUGUGGACGCCAGUCUGCAUGGAGCCGACCUUGAAAUACCACCCUUUAAUGUUUGAUGUUCUAACGUUGGCCCCUAAUCGGGGUUGCGGACAGUGUCUGGUGGGUAGUUUGACUGGGGCGGUCUCCUCCUAAAGAGUAACGGAGGAGCACGAAGGUUGGCUAAUCCUGGUCGGACAUCAGGAGGUUAGUGCAAUGGCAUAAGCCAGCUUGACUGCGAGCGUGACGGCGCGAGCAGGUGCGAAAGCAGGUCAUAGUGAUCCGGUGGUUCUGAAUGGAAGGGCCAUCGCUCAACGGAUAAAAGGUACUCCGGGGAUAACAGGCUGAUACCGCCCAAGAGUUCAUAUCGACGGCGGUGUUUGGCACCUCGAUGUCGGCUCAUCACAUCCUGGGGCUGAAGUAGGUCCCAAGGGUAUGGCUGUUCGCCAUUUAAAGUGGUACGCGAGCUGGGUUUAGAACGUCGUGAGACAGUUCGGUCCCUAUCUGCCGUGGGCGCUGGAGAACUGAGGGGGGCUGCUCCUAGUACGAGAGGACCGGAGUGGACGCAUCACUGGUGUUCGGGUUGUCAUGCCAAUGGCACUGCCCGGUAGCUAAAUGCGGAAGAGAUAAGUGCUGAAAGCAUCUAAGCACGAAACUUGCCCCGAGAUGAGUUCUCCCUGACCCUUUAAGGGUCCUGAAGGAACGUUGAAGACGACGACGUUGAUAGGCCGGGUGUGUAAGCGCAGCGAUGCGUUGAGCUAACCGGUACUAAUGAACCGUGAGGCUUAACC